CAUUUGAUUUAUUGCCAAAUCUGUUGAAUAAUUUUUUCAACUGUAUUUUAAUAUUUCUUAAAUGUAUUUUCUUUGUGAGGUUUCUUUUCUGUGGGAUUAUGCAUUUAAUCCUUUUUUUGUCCGUAGGUUUACCACAUUAGAUUAUAAUCUAUGGAGCCAGUCAGAUGAUGUGUAAAGUGUGUGUUGCUGUUCAAUGUGCAGGAUAUCUGUCACCACUCACACUGACGAGGAAGAAAACAUAACAUCAACCAAUUGUAGUUUGGCUGGGUAUUCGACAAGGAAAUCGAGAUUGACUUGACUUAAGUACAUCCCCGGAGAACUUCGUUCUCGUUUGCGCUCGUUUGAGAACAAAACACAAAGCAGUAUUCGUCGCAGAAAAAUUUAAGAUCAUUUAUAAAUGCUUAAUAAUUUUGCUUCUGUUUUUAGUCUUCCAGUGAAAUAGACGACGAUAGUUCAAUUGUUAUCUGGAAUCCAAUGGAACAGGACUUAACAAAAAAAAUAAACAGAUUCCAUUUGUCAUGGUUGUCCACCCGUUCAUCUGCGGAUGGUGAUUCCCAGUGGCCGUUGUUGAUAAAAAUAAGGUGCAGUGGUCAUCGGUAAAUUAUUUUGGUGGAGUCUUCGUUAAUUCAGCGUCCGCAAAUUUCAUAUUCAAGAUAAGUUGUGUUAUUCUAGCUUUAUACUUUUCAACUUAGUGGCCAAUAUUUGUAGCA